AGUGUUUGUGCUCCCAAAGCCAGCACAGGUAAUUAUUCCUAAGGUACAAACUGCUAUGACGGCACUCCCUUCUCCAAAGAUAGCUACAACACCGGUUAUAACCAGUGUGACAUCAUUGGCAAAAAUACCUGCACUCCAGCCCUCCAGGAACACUAACAGUGUCUGCACAGAUGCUGGUCCUACAGAGGCAACAAAGAUCAUUGGAAAUGGAAGCAAACCGGCAGCUGCUGAGAGACUUCAGUCUCCGCAGGCCCCCAAGCUUCUGAAGAACAAAGGCAUACUGUGUAAGCCAGUUACACAGACCAAGGCCACCUCAUGCAGACCACACACCCACCAUGUUGCAUGCCAGACAGACUCACCUCUGCCAGAUGGGAAAAAUGAAGAAUAUGAUUCUCCACCUGCAAAGAGAAGAAGAGUAGACUUUUUCCACACUUGCAAUGCAGACUAUAUCAAAUUUGGUUUCAUUAUCUGUUCUGGAUCAAAGGAAAGUUCACCAAGCCCACAGUGUGUCAUUUGUGGAGAGAUCUUACCUAGUGAAAGUGUGAUGCCACACAAUUGGGUGCAGGAUCAAGAAACUGUCUGAAGACAUUGAAGACCAGCUGCUGCAGAAGGUCCGGGAGUCCAGGUGGUUUGCCCUGCAGGUGGAUGAGUCAUCCGAGGUCACAGAUGUGCCGCUUCUCCUCUGCUAUGUCCGCUUCGUCGACUAUGACUGUGGAGAUGUGAAAGAAGAAUUAUUAUUUUGCACUGAAAUGCCUUCUCCGAGCACAGAUCUUAAAGUGUUUGAAUUAAUAAAUCAAUAUAUUGAUAGUAGGUCUCUGCAUUGGAACCAUUGUGUUGGUUUCUGUACUGACGGGGCUGCAAGCCUGACUGACGAGUGUUCUCACUUAAGGUCAAAAAUUCAAGAAAUUGCCAAGAAUACGGUGACAUUUACACAUUGUUUCAUUCACCGUGAACACUUAGCAGCCGAAAAACUAUCUCCAUGCUUACAUGAGAUUCUUUUGCAGUUGUCACAGAUUUUAAGCUUUGUAAAGAACAGUGCCUCGGAUUCACGAAUGUUGACAAUUUUGUGUGAAGAGGUGGGAUCUGGGCAUGUGAGUUUACCACUUAGUGCUGAAGUGCGCUGGCUGGCGAGAGGAAGAAUUUUAACAAGACUGUUUGAACUGAGACAUGAAAUUGAAAUAUUUUUAAACCAAAAGCAUUCAGAUUUGGCCAGGUAUUUCCAUGAUGAAGAAUGGGUUGCAAAGCUAGCCUACUUAGCAGAUAUAUUUUCGCUUAUAAAUAAAUUAAAUUCAAGUCUCCAAGGAACUAUGACCACUUUUUUCAGUUUGUAUAAUAAAGUUGAAAUAUUUAAGAAAAGGCUAAAAAUGUGGUUGAAGCGUGCACAAGAGAAUGAUUAUGAUAUGUUCCCUCUAUUUUCUGAGUUCUUGGACUCAUCAGAUGUAAGCGUGAGAAACAUUGCUAGCAUUAUUUGUGAGCACCUGGAAGGACUUUCUCAGGUAUUCCAUGAUUGUUAUCCACCAGAAAAGGACUUGCGUUCAGGAAAUCUGUGGCUCCUGAAUCCUUUCGCCAGUUACCAGGAUAACAAUCUGACUGACUCGGAGGAAGAAAACCUUGCAGCGUUAUCUUCAGAUACGAGAUUCCAAUCAGUUCAUAAAUCAAUGUCUGUCACGCAGUUUUGGGUCAAUGCAAAAACAAGUUAUCCCGAGCUCCAUGAAAAGGCAAUGAAAUUGCUCCUGCCCUUCUCAAGCACCUGUCUGUGCGAUGCUGCCUUCUCGGCCUUGACUGCCUCAAAACAGAGAGACCUGCGGACUUACAGUCCCUCCCUAAGAUUGGCAGUCACGUCAUUAGUUCCAAGGAUAGACAAGUUAGCAAAGGAGAAAGACUAGUAUCUGUAUUGCUUAUCGUCAGAGUGUAUAAUUUUGUGUUAAAUUUUGUAUAAGUAUCCUAAAAUACAAUUUGCUAAUGUAUCUGUAUUUUCAGUGAUUAAAUGUUUUAAUAUUUU
rnacentral:lncRNA from 1 species